rnacentral:rRNA from 1 species
CCUACGGGAGGCAGCAGUGGGGAAUUUUGGACAAUGGGCGCAAGCCUGAUCCAGCCAUGCCGCGUGCGGGAAGAAGGCCUUCGGGUUGUAAACCGCUUUUGUCAGGGAAGAAAAGGUUCUGGCUAAUACCUGGGACUCAUGACGGUACCUGAAGAAUAAGCACCGGCUAACUACGUGCCAGCAGCCGCGGUAAUACGUAGGGUGCAAGCGUUAAUCGGAAUUACUGGGCGUAAAGCGUGCGCAGGCGGUUAUGCAAGACAGAGGUGAAAUCCCCGGGCUCAACCUGGGAACUGCCUUUGUGACUGCAUAGCUAGAGUACGGUAGAGGGGGAUGGAAUUCCGCGUGUAGCAGUGAAAUGCGUAGAUAUGCGGAGGAACACCGAUGGCGAAGGCAAUCCCCUGGACCUGUACUGACGCUCAUGCACGAAAGCGUGGGGAGCAAACAGGAUUAGAUACCCUGGUAGUCCACGCCCUAAACGAUGUCAACUGGUUGUUGGGAGGGUUUCUUCUCAGUAACGUAGCUAACGCGUGAAGUUGACCGCCUGGGGAGUACGGCCGCAAGGUUGAAACUCAAAGGAUUGACGG